ACAAUGAAGAGUUUGAUCCUGGCUCAGGAUGAACGCUAGCUACAGGCUUAACACAUGCAAGUCGAGGGGCAUCAGGAAGAAAGCUUGCUUUCUUUGCUGGCGACCGGCGCACGGGUGAGUAACACGUAUCCAACCUGCCCUUUACUCGGGGAUAGCCUUUCGAAAGAAAGAUUAAUACCCGAUAGUAUAAUGAUUCCGCAUGGUUUCAUUAUUAAAGGAUUCCGGUAAAGGAUGGGGAUGCGUUCCAUUAGGUUGUUGGUGAGGUAACGGCUCACCAAGCCUUCGAUGGAUAGGGGUUCUGAGAGGAAGGUCCCCCACAUUGGAACUGAGACACGGUCCAAACUCCUACGGGAGGCAGCAGUGAGGAAUAUUGGUCAAUGGGCGCGAGCCUGAACCAGC
rnacentral:rRNA from 1 species